GACGUAGGGGGCGAGCGUUGUCCGGAAUUACUGGGCGUAAAGAGCACGUAGGCGGAAAAUUAAGUCCAUUGUGAAAGACCGGGGCUUAACCUCGGAAUUGCAGUGGAAACUGACUUUCUUGAGGGCAGGAGAGGAAAGCGGAAUUCCUGGUGUAGCGGUGAAAUGCGUAGAAAUCAGGAGGAACACCGGUGGCGAAGGCGGCUUUCUGGACUGACCCUGACGCUGAGGUGCGAAAGCGUGGGUAGCAAACAGG
rnacentral:rRNA from 1 species